rnacentral:rRNA from 1 species
AUUGAACGCUGGCGGCAUGCUUUACACAUGCAAGUCGAACGGUAACAGGGUGCUUGCACCGCUGACGAGUGGCGAACGGGUGAGUAAUGCGUCGGAACGCACCGAGUAAUGGGGGAUAACGCAGCGAAAGCUGUGCUAAUACCGCAUACGCUCUGAGGAGGAAAGCGGGGGACCUUCGGGCCUCGCGUUAUUCGAGCGGCCGACGUCUGAUUAGCUAGUAGGUGAGGUAAGAGCUCACCUAGGCGACGAUCAGUAGCGGGUCUGAGAGGAUGAUCCGCCACACUGGGACUGAGACACGGCCCAGACUCCUACGGGAGGCAGCAGUGGGGAAUUUUGGACAAUGGGCGCAAGCCUGAUCCAGCCAUGCCGCGUGUCUGAAGGAGGCCUUCGGGUUGUAAAGGACUUUUGUCAGGGAGGAAAUCCUUAGCGCUAAUACCGUUGAGGGAUGACAGUACCUGAAGAAUAAGCACCGGCUAACUACGUGCCAGCCGCCGCCGUAAGAC